rnacentral:lncRNA from 1 species
CUCAACAGCGCCCCGCCCUCCGGGGAGGAGGCGGCACGACCCGGCCUGCGUGGACGCCGCCCCUCGGCUCUGCGCCCGUGUCCCGGUCUGCGACACCGGGCGACCCCAGACCGCAGGGGGAUCGGGGAAUCCCGCACGGCGCGUGGGGAGCGCCCACGGUCCCCGAGGGGUCUCCUUCCCCCCGAGCCUCGGGAGCGACCCCGGGCCUGGGGGCCGCAUCGCCCCUCCGCCCGGACGGUGCCCAAGCUGAGACCGGCCUCCCUGCGCCGCCCCAGCCGGCCCGGGAACGGGGCGCACCCACCGUGUGAAGCCCCCGCCCAUGGGGAAACCCCGCGCCCCCGCCAGGGCGGACCGAGGGCCCGGGCGCUGCUGCCGCCGCCGCUGGUGCUGCUGCUCGCGGCCGCGCGGUCGGGACGCGCAGAGUUCCAGAUAGACUGCACACGAGUCAGAAUGACCCAUUAAGUGGAGGUGUGGCGUAAUUUUCAGAAGCAUUCAAAGCUGCUUGGUAAUCAAGCUGGGAAAUGCUAUGUUGGGCAAAAAUAAGGGGGCCUGUCCUCAGCACUAAAGAGGCACCAGCACAGACCCAGCACAGCCUCCAGGAGUCCCCACCUUCGUAGUCACCAUCCACUGUCUGGGGGACGUGUUAAAGCAGGAGAGC